CUUGUAGUUGUCCACUUCUGGGCACCAUGGGCUCCUCAGUGUGCUCAAAUGAAUGAGGUUAUGGCGGCACUAGCGAAGGAACACACGCAGGUUACGUUUGUGAAGUUGGAAGCUGAAGCUGUGCCUGAAGUAUCUGAAAAAUACGGAAUUAGUUCUGUUCCAACAUUCUUAUUCUUUAAGAAUUCUCAGAAAGUUGACAGAUUAGAUGGUGCGCAUGCCCCAGAGCUGACGAAAAAAGUGCAGCGCCAUGCGUCCAGCAGUUCGGUUUCCGCUGGCUCUAAUGACAGCGUGAAGGAAGAUCUCAAUGUGCGUCUAAAGAAACUCAUCAACGCCGCCCCUUGCAUGCUCUUCAUGAAAGGGUCUCCAAAAGAACCUCGCUGUGGUUUCAGCAGGCAGAUGGUGGAGAUACUGAACAAACAUGGUAUUUCGUUUAGCAGUUUUGACAUUUUUUCUGAUGAAGAAGUUCGUCAGGGGCUGAAAACAUAUUCUAAUUGGCCAACUUAUCCGCAGUUGUAUGUAGCUGGAGAGCUUAUAGGUGGACUUGAUAUUGUCAAGGAACUUGAGGCAUCUGGAGAGCUGGACUCGGUCUGCCCGAAGGCACAGAAGUUGGAGGACAGGCUUAAAACCUUGAUAAACAAAGCUCCUGUGAUGCUUUUUAUGAAGGGAAGCAAACAGAUGGCAAAAUGUGGAUUCAGCAGGCAGAUUGUAGAAAUCAUAAAUAAUACUGGUGUUGAUUAUGAGACAUUUGACAUACUGGAAGACGAAGAGGUGCGGCAAGGAUUAAAAACCUAUUCAAACUGGCCAACCUAUCCUCAGUUAUACGUGAAAGGUGAACUUGUUGGAGGGCUGGAUAUUAUUAAGGAACUAAAAGAAAGUGGUGAAUUGUUGCCUAUUCUGAAAGGAGAAAAUUAAUGGAAAAGGACAUCAAUGGGAACAGAAAUACGUUGAACAAUGACUCAUUUAUAGAUUGUACUGGAGCAAUAUGCAACUUAGCCUUGUGGAACUGGUCAGGAGUAAAUAAAGACGGCUUAUGUACUCUGUAUUUCACAAGACCAUGCUACGUAUGAAAACGUGUUGCCACUGAAGAUACAAAAAUGUCAAGAUCUUCAAAUUCAAUUAAAAUAUAAUACUAAAGAACGUUGGAGAAACACCUGUGUCUGCUCAAGAUCCGUGGCCAGAAACUCUUCUGAGGCGUUGCUUCCUUGUUAGGAGAGGUCAGGACUGACUGCGCGCUCUUCAAAACGUGCCUGGAAGAAGGGAUGCCAGAUGAGUUAGGUGGUGCGAAGUUUUAGGCAGCAGCUGAGAAGUAAGGUUUUGGAAGCAAGCCGGGGCCUUUGUUGCUUAAAUUCUAAAUAUAAUCUCAAUACAUUGGAACCUGAAGGAAGACUGGUAUUGAACUUAGUCCCAAACGAGUACAGUGCUACACUUCUUACACCGGUACGGAAUUUAUUCUUGAAGCGAAACUACUGUGCUGCUGUUCGUGUUUGGUGACUGUUCUCUUAACUUGUCAUGGUGCUCAGCUGAGGGUCUCCAGCCUUGAAUCUGUCAGAAUUUGUAUGCAGAUCUACCACCUGCCUGCUGAUGGGUGAGCCUGGCAAACAGCGCGUCUUCUCAUGGCUUACUCUGGGCUUUGGCGAUGAAGGAUUAGGAUGUUAUCCUACCAAGGAGACGUAGAAGUACCAAAAUGGGAAUGUGAGGAUAUGUCCCACCCUGCUGGACCAGACUCCUGGGCCCUUUAUCCUUCCCACAGCAGCAGCCGUUGCCAGAUGUUUCGGAGGAAAAAUCAGAUGCUGUUUCCAGGCACACAGAGCUUUGAAGAUCCACAGUCUUCCCAGAGGAUGGGAUGGGGUUUGCCCUGUUUGGGAAUGGAGCAAUAUCUGCCUUUCUCUGGCCAUGGGUCUCUCCCCUGGUCUCCGUGAGCCUGGAGAGAUUGCUGAGAGCAGCCUCAUGAUGGCACCUCCUGGGUCCUUCAGCAUCCUCGGAGUCCUCCCGUCCUCUGGUCCUAUAGCGGUGAUGAGUCCCAUCUGGACAGCAGAGUUAAAUUAUUCGUCUUGAAGCAAGAAGAUGGGGAUGAGCGGAGGUGAUCUACACGCGUUGCCAAGGGCCGCG